rnacentral:rRNA from 1 species
CCUACGGGUGGCAGCAGUGAGGAAUAUUGGUCAAUGGACGAGAGUCUGAACCAGCCAAGUAGCGUGAAGGAUGACUGCCCUAUGGGUUGUAAACUUCUUUUAUAUGGGAAUAAAAUGUUCCACGUGUGGGAUUUUGUAUGUACCAUAUGAAUAAGGUUCGGCUAACUCCGUGCCAGCAGCCGCGGUAUUCCGGAGGGUCCGAGCGUUUCCCGGAUUUUUUGGGUUUAAUGGGAGCGUAGGUGGAUUGAUAAGUCAGUUGUGAAAGUUUGCGGCUCAACCGUCGAAUUGCAGUUGAAACUGGCAGUCUUGAGUACAGUAGAGGUGGGCGGAAUUCGUGGUGUAGCGGUGAAAUGCUUAGAUAUCACGAAGAACUCCGAUUGCGAAGGCAGUUCACUGGACUGCAACUGACACUGAGGCUCGAAAGUGUGGGUAUCAAACAGGAUUAGAUACCCUAGUAGUC